rnacentral:rRNA from 1 species
UGGGUAACCUGCCUCAAAGAGGGGAAUAGCCUCCCGAAAGGGAGAUUAAUACCGCAUAAUAUGUUUAAGUCGCAUGACUUUAACAUCAAAGGAUUUUCUUUUAGAAAUUCCACUUUGAGAUGGACCCGCGGCGCAUUAGCUAGUUGGUGAGGUAACGGCUCACCAAGGCAACGAUGCGUAGCCGACCUGAGAGGUAAUCGGCCACAUUGGAACUGAGACACGGUCCAGACUCCUACGGGAGCAG